rnacentral:lncRNA from 1 species
UUUAUGCGUCAAAAUUGGUCGACAAUUACUGCACAUUCAUGCUACCUGUUUCGUAUAUUUCUUUUAGAAAUAAACUUAGCUGGAAAUAUGAAUCAACUAGGAUUCAAACUUGGAACCUCGGAUACCAACUAUUAAACUCUUUGCCAUUUGUACUAGGAACGAUGGGUUAUAGUACUAUUUGUUAGCUUAAAGAGGCUAGUAUCCUGCUGCCCUGUGGUGGGAGAUCGGGUUGGACCAAAUCAUAUUCGAAGUGGCAAGAGACUAGUUGGACCGAAUCGCAACCGAGACCCGUGGGCUCUGUGCCUGUAAGUUUUAAAUAAAUUGGUUGUAUCUUGCUAACAGCUAAAAUUCGGUACGGGUAUAAUUUGGAUAAAAUUUGUCUUCUAAUUUUUAAAUUCGUUGAAGAAUACGGCAAAUAAAUUGGUUUUGUCCAACCAAUUUAUUUGAGCGACCGCGCGAGCGCCCUUUUUUUGGGCAAAUUAUUCGCGAAUCACAAAUUAUUCGCGAAUAAUUAUUUAAUUUUGACCAAAAAAACACGAUUUUUUUCAAAAUUUUCGGAAUAAUAGGAAUUCGACUAUACGUUUUUUCAAAAAUUUACAAAUAAUUCACGAAUUAAUUAAAAUAGGUACUGCCUAACAUUUAUACAUUUUACAUUUUACAAAGACCCAAUCAUUUCAAAACAAAUAUUUUUAUAUAUUUAUUUAUUUAUUUGGGUCUUGGGACAUAUGAAUCAUGACAAAAAAGUAGGGAAUUAGUCAUCUUACUCCUAAAGGAGACAUUGAAAAGAUUUUGAAUAGAUAUCCAAAUGGUACAAGCUACAUACUUAAUGGGGGACAGUUGGGCUUGGGCAUAUAUUCUUUUAGCAAUAUUAUUUAAAACUAUUCUACAUUUUGAGGUCAUUUAUGACACUUUUUGUAGAUUGUUAGAUAACAAGAUAGCUUGAUUUGGUUUGACAUAGUAGAAGAUUAAAUUAUAUUUUUUUUAUAGGCUAAAUUAUAAAAAAAAAUUUGUAAAUAUUUAUUUUUUUAAAAUUUUUUUUUAUUUUUAAAAAUUUAUAUUUUAUCUUCUUAAAAUUUUAAAAAUGUUUACAGAAAGGUAUGACGUUAAUGGAGAGGACAAAAUAAUCAAAUUAUCCUUACUUCUUCAAUAAAAAAUAAUUUUUUAUAUAUCUCUGUCGUUUUGAAAGAAUUUUCAGUAUAAAUCUAUUACUAUAUAUAAAAGUAGAACCCUUAAUGAACCCUAUGUGAGAAGCUGACACGUGGCUUUCCCUAUGUGAGAAGCUGACACGUGGCUUUCUAUAUGCUUGCCACGUGUCAAACUCAAAUAUGGAUAACUGACACGUGGCUUUCUAUAUGCUUGCCACGUGUCAAACUCAAAUAUGGAUAUUUGGUUACAUAUUAUUUGAAAUUAUUGGUUUAAUUAAUUAUUUAAAACUAUUGGUUGCGAAAUACGUAAUAAUCUGUUACGAAUUAUUUUUUCGCAAUGGAAAUAAUCUGUUGCAAACUCAAAUUUCGUAUUAGCAGAUAAUUAAUUAUUUAAAAUUAUUGAUUGCGAAAUAAGCAAUAAUCUGUUGUGAAUUAUUUGAAAUGGUUAGUUGCGAAAAAAAUGGUCAAACUCAAAUUUCGUAAUGGCACUUGGUUAUGAUUCAAUAUGUGACAUCACUCCUCUUGGAGACAAAUGGAAGAUCAAAGUUAGAGUGAUUUGUCUGUAUACUAUGCCUCAGCGGCUUCUACAGGACCACUAAUCAUCCUUACAAAAUCAAUUUUCAAUAUUCUACGAUUGUACGUGAGAAAGAAAAUGUUUUGAUCGUGUCAAAGUAUGGAUUUAUAUUUACCCCUUUUGAUGAAAUACUUGGUAAUGUCGCUGAUGAAAAUAAUCUGUUGCAAAUUCAAAUUUCGUAUUGGCAGAUAAUUAAUUAUUUAAAAUUAUUGGUUGCGAAAUAAGCAAUAAUCUGUUGUGAAUUAUUUGAAAUGGUUAGUUGCGAAAAAAAUGGUCAAACUCAAAUUUCGUAUUGGCAGAUAAUUAAUUAUUUAGAAAAUAUGACUACUUUAGAAAAAAUAAAAUUAAAAUUUUUAAGGAAAUAGUAUCUUUUACAAUAUUAUUAAAAAUCACCUAUAAUGAAUGAAGGUGAUUUUAUUUCAAAUCACAUAUAAUUAUGUUGAGAUAUUUGAGAAAUUCAUGCGAAAGAAUUGGCAGGUGCGAAUAUUACUGUUUUAGGAAAAAUAAUCUACGUGUCAAGUUCAAAUAUAGAUAUUUUAUUUUAAAAAAGAUAGAAAAUAGGAUAUAAAUGCGAGGGUAAUAUUGUCACAAAAAUUAACAGAUAUUUUUAUUUUCAAUCAUUAGCUAAGAUGAAGGAGAAAUUAUUUCAAAGUCACCUAUAAUUAUGUUGAGAUAUUUAAAAAAUUCACGGAUAUUAUGUGACAAAAAAAUUGACCGGUGCAGAUAUUAUGCGUGAGAAGAAAAAUAUUUAUCUUUAUUUGGGAAUAAAUUACUACUUAGUUAAUUAUUUGAAAUGAUUGGUUGAAAAUUUCUGGACAUAAAAAUAUUAGUAAAAAAGGAUAGAGACAUUUUUGGAAAGAGAAAAAAUUCAAAACUCACGUUUUUAUAAAAAAUUAAUAUCUUUUACUAUAUUAUUAAAAAUCACAUAUAAUGAAGGAAAUUUUAUUUCAAAGUCACCUAUAAUUAUGUUGAGAUAUUUGAGAAAUUUAUGGAUAUUAUGUUGCGAAAGAAUUGGCGGUGCGGAUAUUACGCGUGAGAAGAAAAAUAUUUAUCUUUAUUUGGGAAUAAAUUAUUACUUAGUUAAUUAUUUAAAAUGAUUGGUUGAAAAUUUCUGGACAUAAAAAUAUUAGUAAAAAAGGAUAGAGGCAUUUUUGGAAAGAGAAAAAAAUUUAAAACUCACAUCACUCCUGUAAUUUUCUUCGCUCUUAAAUAUUGAUGCUUUAAAAUAGAACAUAUUAUUUCCCUACUGUCACUUCUGUAAUUUUCAUUUCGUAAUUUUUUUCCCUUCUGUCACUCAUGUAACUUUUCAUCUUCAUGCAACAAAAUUUUUUUUCUUUAUAUUUUCUUGAAAACCAACAUCUAUAUAUUUUUGAAUCUUAAAAGCGACAGUAGGAACAUAAUAUAUGUGUGCUUACUCUAAUUUGUGUCAAAUAUGAAAGUUUAGUUGAUCUCAUUAUAUGCUUAAAUAUUAAUGUCAUUUGUAAUUUUUCAUAUCAAUUUUAGUUAUCAUUUUAUUUCGCACAUCAAUAUGUAAAUGUAAAUUAUUUUGCAUACCAAUUCAUAGAUAAUAGAGCAGGAUUGAAUUUUGCAUUUUAGUUGAAUAUUUAUUUUGGUCCAAAUUUUUUUUUCUCUAGCUUGUGUAUUUUAAUAUGUACUAUAAUUAAGAUUGAUAGUAUAUUUUUUUAUUUGUUAAAAAAUAUAAAAUUAAUUAAAAAAAUUUUUGUUAUCAUCACAUAAUAAUUUUUAUUAUUCUAUAUUAUUAUAUUAGCCGUGCAUCGCACGGGUGAAAAUCUAGUUAUAAGAAAUAGACAGAAUAGUAAUAGAUUCUUGUCGGAAGGGGACUAAUACAACAACUUGAAAUGUUAAGAGAGUAAAAUAUAUAUUUUUAAAACUUAUGAAAAAAAAAUAAAAAAAAAAUGAAUAUUUACGGGAGAUUUUCUAUAAUUU